rnacentral:rRNA from 1 species
GAUCAUGGCUCAGGAUGAACGCUAGCUACAGGCUUAACACAUGCAAGUCGAGGGGAAACGACAUCGAAAGCUUGCUUUUGAUGGGCGUCGACCGGCGCACGGGUGAGUAACGCGUAUCCAACCUGCCCAUCACUUGGGAAUAACCUUGCGAAAGUAAGACUAAUGCCCAAUGAUAUCCCACGAAGGCAUCCGAAUGGGAUUAAAGAUUUUAUCGGUGGAGUGGAGGUGGGGAUGCGU